UUUUGAUGGCGACCGGCGCACGGGUGAGUAACGCGUAUCCAACCUUCCCAUUACUACGGCAUACCCCGUUGAAAGGCGGCCUAAUUCCGUAUGCAGUCCGAAGCAGUCAUCUAAUUUGGACGAAAGGUAUAUUCUAUCGGUAAUGGAUGGGGAUGCGUCCGAUUAGCCAGCCGGCGGGGUAACGGCCCACCGGGGCAUCGAUCGGUAGGGGUUCUGAGAGGAAGGUCCCCCACACUGGAACUGAGACACGGUCCAGACUCCUACGGGAGGCAGCAGUGAGGAAUAUUGGUCAAUGGGCGUAAGCCUGAACCAGCCAAGUAGCGUGCAGGAUGACGGCCCUAUGGGUUGUAAACUGCUUUUAUGCGGGGAUAAAGUUGGGGACGUGUCCCUUUUUGCAGGUACCGCAUGAAUAAGGACCGGCUAAUUCCGUGCCAGCAGCCGCGGUAAUACGGAAGGUCCGGGCGUUAUCCGGAUUUAUUGGGUUUAAAGGGAGCGUAGGCAGUUUUUUAAGCGUGCUGUGAAAUGUACCGGCUCAACCGGUGAUGUGCAGCGCGAACUGGGAA
rnacentral:rRNA from 1 species